rnacentral:rRNA from 1 species
GUACUAACGGGACUGCCGGUUAUAACCGGAGGAAGUGGGGGGUGACGUCAAGUCAGCAUGGCCUCUAUGUCCAGGGCUACACACACGCUACAAUGGCCGGUACAGUGGGUUGCCAAACCGCGAGGUGGAGCUAAUCCUCAAAGCCGGUCUCAGUUCGGAUUGUAGGCUGCAACUCGCCUGCAUGAAGUCGGAGUUGCUAGUAACCGCGCGUCAGCUAUAGCGCGGUGAAUACGUUCCCGGGCCUU